UAGGCCAGGUUAGGCUUUAAAAGGCCUGAACCUAACCUACGAUGAAAUUUUGAGGCUUGAGCCUAGUCUAUAGCCUAUCAAAGAUUUUUAUUUUGGCUCGGUCUGACCUUUUUAAAAGCCUAGUUUGGCCU
rnacentral:pre_miRNA from 1 species